UUCACCUUUCCAUUCAAGGACUGAUUCAUUUGGAAAAUGGAAAUAUACCUUUUUCGUGCAGCAAUCAAUUGUGGCAUAACAAGACGCCAACCAGUCCAUACCCAUUAUAACAUCAAAAUCUACCAUUUCUAACUCCACAAGAUCAGCCAUCGUAUCACGACCACAAACAGUUACUAUGCAGUUUUGGUAAACCCUUCUAGCUAUAAUAGAUUCCCCAAC
rnacentral:lncRNA from 1 species